rnacentral:rRNA from 1 species
UACAGGGGGGGCAAGCGUUGUUCGGAAUUACUGGGCGUAAAGGGCUCGUAGGUGGCCAACUAAGUCAGACGUGAAAUCCCUCAGCUUAACUGGGGAACUGCGUCUGAUACUGGAUGGCUUGAGUUUGGGAGAGGGAUGCGGAAUUCCAGGUGUAGCGGUGAAAUGCGUAGAUAUCAGGAGGAACACCGGUGGCGAAGGCGGGUCUCUGGGCAGUAACUGACGCUGAGGAGCGAAAGCGUGGGGAGCGAACAGG